UCCGGGGUAGUUCAAUCGGCAGAACGUCGGCCUUUGGAGCCGGAUGUUGGAGGUUCGAACCCUCCCCCCGGAA
rnacentral:tRNA from 1 species